AGGGCACAUGGUGGAUGCCUUGGCGUCAGGAGGCGAUGAAGGGCGUAGGAGCCUGCGAUAAGCUUCGGGGAGCUGGCAAGCAAGCGAUGAUCCGGAGAUGCCCGAAUGGGGAAACCCGGCUGCGGUAAUGCGCAGUCACCGCGCGAGCGGGGCUAACGUGGGGAACUGAAACAUCUAAGUACCCAUAGGAAAGGAAAUCAAACGAGACUCCCUGAGUAGUGGCGAGCGAAAGGGGAACAGCCCAAACCGAAUCAGUUCGCUGGUUCGGGGUUGUAGGACCGACACAACGGUAUGGUGAGUGCUAGUGGAAUCACCUGGAAAGGUGAGGCAGAGAGGGUGACACCCCCGUACACGAAAGCGCGAGCUGGCCAGUCGGAUUCCUGAGUACCUUGGGGCACGAGAAACCCCGGGGGAAUCUGGGAGGACCACCUUCCAAGGCUAAGUACUACCUGACGACCGAUAGUGAACAAGUACCGUGAGGGAAAGGUGAAAAGUUCCCCGAGAGGGAAGUGAAAUAGACCCUGAAACCGUGUGCCUACAAACAGUGGGAGCCGCAAGGUGACCGCGUACCUUUUGCAUAAUGAGUCAGCGAGUUGCGUGUCGUAGCAAGGUUAAGCCGCGAGGUGGAGCCGUAGGGAAACCGAGUCUGAACAGGGCGAUGAGUUACGGCAUGCAGACCCGAAACCAGGUGAGCUACCCAUGGCCAGGCUGAAGCGUUGGUAAAACUUCGUGGAGGGCCGAACUCACAAAUGUUGAAAAAUUUGGGGAUGAGCUGUGGGUAGGAGUGAAAGGCUAAUCAAACCUGGAGAUAGCUGGUUCUCCCCGAAAUGCAUUGAGGUGCAGCGUCGGGUGGUCACCGCUGGAGGUAGAGCACUGAAAGGGCUAGGGGGCGCGAGCCUACCAAACCCUAUCAAACUCCGAAUUCCGGUGAGUGCAGCCCGGCAGUGAGACGGCGGGUGAUAAGAUUCGUCGUCGAGAGGGAAAGAGCCCAGACUGCCAGCUAAGGCCCCCAAGUGAGUGCUAAGUGGUCAAGGAAGUGGGAAGUCUUAAACAAUCAGGAAGUUGGCUUAGAAGCAGCCACCCUUUAAAGAAAGCGUAAUAGCUCACUGAUCGAGACUUCCUGCGCCGUAAAUAUAACGGGGCUCAAGCACUCCGCCGAAGCUGCAGAUUUCCUUCGGGAAGUGGUAGGGGAGCGUUCCAAUUGCAGAGAAGCGAGCCCGCAAGGGACUUGUGGAGCGAUUGGAAGUGAGAAUGCUGACGUGAGUAGCGAUAAAACGGGUGAAAAACCCGUUCGCCGAAAGCCCAAGGGUUCCUGUCCAAGGAUCAUCCGGGCAGGGUUAGUCGGCCCCUAAGGUGUAGCCGAAAGGCGAAGCUGAUGGGAAGCGGGUCAAUAUUCCCGCACCACCGAUACGGAGCAGAGCAGGGACGGAGAAGGGUAGGUCAGCCAGGCGAUGGUAGUCCUGGUGCAAGCCUGUAGGAGGUCCCCGUAGGAACAAAACGCGGGGAUAACGCCGAGAGGUGAUGCCGAGGCUUUCGGGCCACAAGUGAUUGAUCCCAGGCUUCCAAGAAAAGCUGCGUUCUGUGUUGAAGUAUUGGUGACCGUACCCGAAACCGACCCAGGUGGGCAGGUGGAGAACACCAAGGCGCUUGAGAGAACUCGGGUUAAGGAACUAGGCAAACUAACACCGUAACUUCGGGAUAAGGUGUGCCAUCGCACCGUGAAGGACUUCGCGUCCGGAGCGGGGGAUGGUUUCAACAAAGAGGCGGUAGCGACUGUUUAUCAAAAACACAGGACUCUGCUAAGCCGUAAGGCGAUGUAUAGGGUCUGACGCCUGCCCGGUGCCGGAAGGUUAAGAGGAGUUGUCAGGGCAACCGAAGCAAUGAAUCGAAGCCCCGGUAAACGGCGGCCGUAACUAUAACGGUCCUAAGGUAGCGAAAUUCCUUGUCGGGUAAGUUCCGACCUGCACGAAUGGCGUAACGACUUCCGCGCUGUCUCGACCCGAGACUCAGCGAAAUCGACGUUGGGGUGAAGAUGCCCCAUACCCGCGGAAAGACGGAAAGACCCUGUGAACCUUCACUCUAGCUUGACAGUGAUAUUCGGUCCAGUAUGUGUAGGAUAGGUGGGAGGCAUUGAAGCGCGGACGCCAGUUCGUGUGGAGCCACCGUUGAAAUACCACCCUUACUGUUCUGGAUAUCUAACCCGCAUGUCGGGGACACUGUCUGGUGGGGAGUUUGACUGGGGCGGUCGCCUCCCAAAAGGUAACGGAGGCGCGCAAAGGUUCCCUCAGCCUGAUUGGAAACCAGGCGCAGAGUGCAAUGGCAUAAGGGAGCUUGACUGCGAGAGGGACACCUCGAGCAGGUGCGAAAGCAGGCCAUAGUGAUCCGGCGGUUCCACGUGGAAGGGCCGUCGCUCAUCGAAUAAAAGGUACUCCGGGGAUAACAGGCUGAUAACGCCCAAGAGUCCAUAUCGACGGCGUUGUUUGGCACCUCGAUGUCGGCUCAUCGCAUCCUGGGGCUGGAGCAGGUCCCAAGG
rnacentral:rRNA from 1 species